rnacentral:misc_RNA from 1 species
AAGUCGUAACAAGGUUUCCGUAGGUGAACCUGCGGAAGGAUCAUUAAAUUCAGUAGCUUGCUACUGUUAGGGGGGGUCUAUUAGUCUGUAUAGUGUCACUACUGAUGAGCAGCAUGACCCUCUGUCUAUACCCUUGUCUUUUGCGCACUCAUGUUUCCUCGGCGGCUUGAUACCCGCCGGCUGGAUCAAUCUAUAACCUUUUUAAUUUUCAAUCAGCGUCUGAAAAACCUAAUAAUUACAACUUUCAACAACGGAUCUCUUGGUUCUG